rnacentral:lncRNA from 1 species
AGCAAGUCUCCAGUGAAACUCUGUUUGUUUCUGUUGACUGGACAAGAAGCAAUGAAGCCUGUGCAAUAGAGAAAAAAAUGGAGAUUGGCAUAUAAACACAUAUCAGCAUUUAUCAAGGCCGGUGGAGAAGAGAUAUCUUCUGAUCUAUAAAGCCUAGCCCUGUAUUUGUGAAUGUAAAGAUUCCUGUCUUAUCUAAGAGCAAUACUACCAAAAUGCACAGAUGACAGAAAAAUCAUUUGAAAUAUCCUAUUUCUUUAGUUUAUGGUUCAUUACCAAAACACACUGCUUGAUAGCUUGACCACCUUUGUGAGCUUGUUUUUAAAUUCUACUCAUAAAUACUGUCAGUUAUAUUCUUAGAUCAUAUAUUAAAGUUUUUUUUUGUUUUUUUAGAUGGAGUGUCACUUUGUCCCCCAGGCUGGAGUGCAGUGGGGCGAUCUUGGUCCACUGCAACCUCUGCUCCGGGGAUCAAGUGAUUCUCCUGCUUCAGCCUCCCGAGUAGCUGGGAUUACAGGCAACCGCCACUUCUAGCUGCAUAUUUUUUCCACCUAUAAUUUUUUUGAGACCUUAAUUAUUUCGGUCUACAAUCUGCGUCUAGCAGGACUACACAGACAGCAGUUCUAAAACUUCUUUUAGCUACUUGAGAUAUUAAAUAUUUCACAUAUAUUAACAGUUUUAUAUCCCAGCAAUGGAUUCCAAAGUUGUGGCAUUGCUACCACUUAGUACUUUUGAUUUUAAGUAAAAUUACAGUAGAAAAUUUCUGGAAGUAUUCUUAGUUGAGUGUUAACUGCAGGUAUCAUGAUGUAUUUUUUAACCUAACUUGAGUCGUUCAGUUGAAUAUCUUUUAUCUUAUUUUAAAAUUUUUUCAUUAAUCAUUUUCACAUAUUUUUAUAAUUCUUAUUAGAUGUAUUGAAACAAAUAAUUAUUAAGAAGAACUAUUGUUUUACUCAUUGAUGUAUCCUUCAAAGAUAUGUAAUAUGCCAAUGUAAUGGACUCUGUAUUGGUUAUCUAUUGCUACAAUAAUGUGUAAUCAACAACCUCACAUCUCAAUGCUUAAGUCAAUAAGCUCUUUUAAAUUCACAUGCGUAUGGGUUGGCUAGGGGAUAAUCUGGUCUCAGUGACCUGUGAUGCUCAUGUGUACAUCUGUGAUUAGUAGUAGGCAGGUAGGUGGCUUCGUUUAGCUGGUUUCUCACAGGUCUGGCCUCAACUAACAUGACUCAGCUCUCCUCCACUUGUUCUCUCAUUCUCCAGCAAGCUAGCUUGGGUAUGUUCUGAAAGUCUAGUCAGAGAAAUAAGGAAGAGAAGGACAUAAGCAUUCAAGGGUUCUUGAACUCUGAUUUGGAAAUAAAAUACUGUCACUUCUUUCAUAUUCUAUUUUCUAAAAGCAAGUCACAAAGCCAUUCCAAAUUCAAGAUUCAGGAAAUAAGAUCCUACACUUUCAAAGGACCUACAAUGUCAUGUUGUCAAGGGCAUGAACACAGAAAAGAAGGGUAUGGGAUCUGGGACAUUUUUAUAAUCAAUCAAUUUUUCUUUUGUUAGUUUUACUUGUUUUAAAUGUAUACUCUUUGAAAAGGAAAAAAAUUAACUUCUCUCUGACAGUUUUCAUGGUCGUAUGUCUGUGCAUAUAUUUUGUUAAUUUCUACCCUAUUUUAAAAUUAUUUGCAUUCUGCCAUUUUUGAGGCAUUAUUUUAAUAAUAGUUUACAAGUGUCCAGUUACAUGCUUAGGUCCUAAAUUUUCAGUUACUUUUUCUCCUUAUAUAGAAGCAAAUAUUUAAAUUCCUUAUACAAUAACAAUUUAUUUUUAUCUUGC